rnacentral:rRNA from 1 species
CCUACGGGUGGCUGCAAUUAGGAAUCUUGCGCAAUGGGGGCAACCCUGACGCAGCGACGCCGCGUGAAGGAUGAAGGUCCUAGGAUCGUAAACUUCUUUUAUAGGGGAAGAAUAAUUGACGGUACUCUAUGAAUAAGUGCCUGCUAACUACGUGCCAGAAGCAUCGGUGACGCGUAGGGCACAAACAUUACCCGGAGUUAUUGGUUGUAAAGAGAUGCGUAGGCGUUGUGGUAAGUCUUGUGUUAACGACCUCCGCUCAACGGAGGGAGUGCACUCGAAACUACCAGAAUUGAGACAGGAAGGGGUGAGUAGAAUUCCCGGUGUAGCGGUUAAAUGCGUUGAUAUCGGGAGGAAUACCAGGGGCGAAGGCGACUCACUGGUCCUGUUCUGACGCUCAGGCUCGAAAGCGUGGGGAGCAAAAC